CGGCGGACGGGUGAGUAACACGUGGAUAACCUACCUAUAAGACUGGGAUAACUUCGGGAAACCGGAGCUAAUACCGGAUAAUAUAUUGAACCGCAUGGUUCAAUAGUGAAAGACGGUUUUGCUGUCACUUAUAGAUGGAUCCGCGCCGCAUUAGCUAGUUGGUAAGGUAACGGCUUACCAAGGCAACGAUGCGUAGCCGACCUGAGAGGGUGAUCGGCCACACUGGAACUGAGACACGGUCCAGACUCCUACGGGAGGCAGCAGUG
rnacentral:rRNA from 1 species